rfam:Brachypodium distachyon strain Bd21 chromosome 3, whole genome shotgun sequence.
CCCCUCUCCGACGAGGAGACGCUCGGCUAUAUGCUUGCUGGUCUCGGAUUGGAGUAUGAGCCUUUGGUCACGUCCAUCACCACCAAGGAUGAACUGGUGACCCUUGGCAGCUUCUAUGCCCACUUCCUCAGCGCCGAGC